GGAGUGUUGGCUCAGUCGGUAGAGCGUCCGCCUCACAACCAGGAGGUCCUGGGUUCGAACCCCAGCCGCGUCA
rnacentral:tRNA from 1 species